ACUGGCAGGCACCGCAGGCCAUCGAUCGUCAGAAAGACACGGAGUUUGGCCAGAAUUAUCAGAGAAGAGUUUGGCCAGAGGGGUCAGAGAAGACUCCAGCGGAAAACCAUCUCCCCUGUGACUCCAGAAUCUUCUGAGAGCUACUUCUACUUAAUAAAACCUUGCACUCAUUCUCCAAGCCCACAUGUGAUCCGAUUCAUCCAGUACACCAAGUGUCCAGGGACAUCUAGAUGAUAGAAGUUCCUUCAGAUGGGUCCCUGGUGUGAGGGUGUCCUGUAUCAGACUGCCUAUUGAAGUUCAACCUGUGGUUCAAGACAGGAUCUCAUUCAGAAUACUACUUUCAUUCAGGCUGGAGUGCAGUGGCAUGAUCUUAGCUCUCUGCAACUUCCGCCUCCUGGGCUCAAGCGAUUCUCCUGUCUCAGGCUCCGGAGUAGCUGGGACUACAGGCAUGCGCCACAACACCAGGAAAAAACUUCUAGGGGAAUUGGAUGUGAAAAGUGUCCCUGGUCCUAUGAUCACAAAGAUUUGCAGCAAGGUCAAGACACAGAAGUAACAAAUGCUUCCAGCUUCAGCAAAUGGUGCCCCAUCUUCUGCAUGGGAAUACCCAUUAUUCCAAGCCUGUUUUCGGGGAAAGUGAUAGACAAUGGUGGUGCCCAGGGUGCAGGGAACAAAGGGAACUGGACAGAUGGAAAAUACGCAUUGGGGUUAUAAAAUACAAUUCUGCAGAGGUCCUUUUCCUCAGACACAACCUAGAAAAUGGCAAUGAAAAAGAUAAGGAAAAUUAAAGAGAUGAAAUCCAAGAUCAUUAGAAAGCUGUACAUACUGAUACAGACACCCAGGAACCUCAAAAUCACAGGAUACAAAGGGAGAAAAGCAGUAA
rnacentral:lncRNA from 10 species